UGAUAUAGACGGUGUUUGAAACAAGAAUUAGAAUCGAUAUUUCUUCGAAAACGGACGCUAUGGAUAACUAUAACUCGAAUCACCCAUGUAAACAAAGGAGGAUCUUUCGUUUUUUCCCCUAUUUUUUCGUUGUUUUGGAUUAAAAAGUGGGAUGCAUUUUGAAGAGUGGACCCUUCCCUUGAAAUGUUACGCUGGUGUUUCUUGGAUUAGUCCGAGCUGGCCAGAGCUAUAGGCCAUGAAACAUUCAUUUCUAUCGGUGUGAACUGACCACCACACAGAAUAUGAAGAAUAUGAAAAACUUUAGGAGUCAGCUGUCUACGGCAGUCCUUAAGGUACCAGCACAAUAACACAUCAGCAAAAUAUCGUCUGAUUAUCAUCAUCGAUAAAAUCCCUGAAAAUAUUGAGAUAUUAUUUUUUGUCAAUAUCGCACACCCCUACUUCAGAUGCCGCUUAUGUGUUUCCUCUGCUUUGUAAAGAUGUAUUUUGUUGAUACUGAUUUCAUUUGCUUGGUAACAGCCCAAAUGUCUUAUUCUAACUGACUUCUAAAAUGUAAGAAUUUGACUCAAAUGAUGAUGCACAUUUUUAGAAGGUAAAUAUGCUCAUAAAAGGUAAAACUCAAUUUAAACGUAUUGGAAAAGAUUAAUUUCUAUGACUGCUGUGAACUGACCACCACACAGAAUAUGCAGAAUAUCAAAACUUUAGGAGUCCACGGCAGUCCUUAAAAUGUCAACACAAAAACACACUCAGCAAAAUAUCGUCAGUCUAAUUAUUGUUAUCGAUAAAAUCACAGAAAAUAUUGAGAUAUCAUUUUUGUCAUUAUCACACACCUCUAUCUCUCGGUUACCUAAAGUUACUAUUUAUUGAACUAAUUUAUUUUUAUUUCACAUUAUGAUUAUUAUAUUAAAUGUAUGAGACGUUUCUGCUGUAACAAUUUUUUCCCCUCAGUGUAACCCACCAUUGCUAGGUCUGAGCUUACGAGGCACCAUUUAUUAAAAAAGGAACCACUAUGAAUUUCACAAGCCAUUGGAGAACCACACAACUGCAAUGAAAACUGGAAUAGCAAGAGCCCUGUCAAGUGUGCUAAAUGUCUCCGUUGUCCUGGAAGAGGAAGUGGUGCUUCACAACUUAGGAGACUUUGUAAAUGUGUUUAUUGUACUCUUUGGAUUAUUGUGUGCACUCAACAUGGAGUACAACAAGGAUUUACAGUAAAAGGUUAGUUCACCAAAAAUGGAAAUUGUCAUUAAUUACUCACCCUCAUGUCGUGCCCAAACCCGUAAGACCUUCAGUCAUCUUCAGAACACGUAUUAAGAGGCUCUCUGACUCUUCAUAGGAAGCUAUGCAACUUACACAUUCAUGUUCCAGAAGAGUAGGAAAGACAUCAUUAAAGUAUUCAGUGAGUCCAGUGGUUUAACCUAAAUUUUAUGAAGCAACUCAAGAGUUUUGUUUGCAGAAAAAAAAACAAUUUACUACUUUAUUUACAAAAUAAUAUCCAAAGUGUGGUGGUGCUUCCUCUAUUGGGUUGCAGAGCAAUGUUUUAGUAAAUAAGGUGGUUAUUUAUUUAUUUUUGCGCAAACAAAGCACUCGCGUUGGUUCCUAAAAUUGAGGUUUAAACCACUGGAGUCACGUUGAUUACUCUACUGUCUUUCCUGCUGUUCUGGACCUUGAUUUUCUGAAUUGAAGUUUUACUAACCCUAAAAAGUUCAAAAUACCUCUUAUGAGAUUUAUUUAUUUUAUUUAAUUUUUUGGCAAACAUUUGAAGUGUAAGUUUCAUGAGCUCAGAGUACAUUUUGUGAGAAUGGUAAUAUUCAGGUGACAUUACACUAAACACUGUAACCUCAGAUAAAUGAUUACAUUUUAUGGUGUUUUUGAUACUUUUGCAUGUUUGUGAAUGUAUUAAUGUUUAAAGUGCAAUUCAUCAGCUUUGUGUGUCUUAUGAGAAUUAA